ACUCAAAUGAAUAGACGGGGGCCCGCACAAGCGGUGGAGCAUGGGGAUUAAUUCGUCACUAACCGAAGAACCUUACCAGGGUUUGACAUCCGCCGCAAGUCCGUGAAAGCGGCACCCUCCGGGGCAACCCGGACGGCGAGACAGGUGUUGCAUGGCUGUCGUCAGCUCGUGUCGUGAGAUGUUGGGUUAAGUCCCGCAACGAGCGCAACCCUCACGCGAUGUUGCCAGCGCGAAAGGCGGGCACUCUUCGGGAACUGCCCGGGUAACCGGGAGGAAGGUGGGGAUGACGUCAAGUCGGCAUGGCCCUUACACCCUGGGCUUCACCCAUGCUACAAUGGGCGCGACAGAGGGACGCAAGACCGCGAGGUGGAGCCAAUCCCAAAAAGGCGCUCUCAGUUCGGAUUGCAGGCUGCAAUUCGCCUGCAUGAAGUCGGAAUCGCUAGUAACCGCCGGUCAGCCAAACGGCGGUGAAUACGUUCCCGGGCCUUGUACACACCGCCCGU
rnacentral:rRNA from 1 species